rnacentral:rRNA from 1 species
CUAAAGUGAAAGAUGGUUUUGCUAUCACUUAUAGAUGGACCCGCGCCGUAUUAGCUAGUUGGUAAGGUAACGGCUUACCAAGGCGACGAUACGUAGCCGACCUGAGAGGGUGAUCGGCCACACUGGAACUGAGACACGGUCCAGACUCCUACGGGAGGCAGCAGUAGGGAAUCUUCCGCAAUGGGCGAAAGCCUGACGGAGCAACGCCGCGUGAGUGAUGAAGGGUUUCGGCUCGUAAAACUCUGUUAUUAGGGAAGAACAAACGUGUAAGUAACUGUGCACGUCUUGACGGUACCUAAUCAGAAAGCCACGGCUAACUACGUGCCAGCAGCCGCGGUAAUACGUAGGUGGCAAGCGUUAUCCGGAAUUAUUGGGCGUAAAGCGCGCGUAGGCGGUUUCUUAAGUCUGAUGUGAAAGCCCACGGCUCAACCGUGGAGGGUCAUUGGAAACUGG